rnacentral:rRNA from 1 species
GUGAGUAACACGUGGGCAAUCUGCCCUGCACUCUGGGACAAGCCCUGGAAACGGGGUCUAAUACCGGAUACUGAUCAUCUUGGGCAUCCUUGAUGAUCGAAAGCUCCGGCGGUGCAGGAUGAGCCCGCGGCCUAUCAGCUUGUUGGUGAGGUAACGGCUCACCAAGGCGACGACGGGUAGCCGGCCUGAGAGGGCGACCGGCCACACUGGGACUGAGACACGGCCCAGACUCCUACGGGAGGCAGCAGUGGGGAAUAUUGCACAAUGGGCGAAAGCCUGAUGCAGCGACGCCGCGUGAGGGAUGACGGCCUUCGGGUUGUAAACCUCUUUCAGCAGGGAAGAAGCGAAAGUGACGGUACCUGCAGAAGAAGCGCCGGCUAACUACGUGCCAGCAGCCGCGGUAAUACGUAGGGCGCAAGCGUUGUCCGGAAUUAUUGGGCGUAAAGAGCUCGUAGGCGGCUUGUCGCGUCGGAUGUGAAAGCCCGGGGCUUAACCCCGGGUCUGCAUUCGAUACGGGCAGGCUAGAGUUCGGUAGGGGAGAUCGGAAUUCCUGGUGUAGCGGUGAAAUGCGCAGAUAUCAGGAGGAACACCGGUGGCGAAGGCGGAUCUCUGGGCCGAUACUGACGCUGAGGAGCGAAAGCGUGGGGAGCGAACAGGAUUAGAUACCCUGGUAGUCCACGCCGUAAACGGUGGGCACUAGGUGUGGGCAACAUUCCACGUUGUCCGUGCCGCAGCUAACGCAUUAAGUGCCCCGCCUGGGGGAGUACGGCCGCAAGGCUAAAACUCAAAGGAAUUGACGGGGGCCCGCACAAGCGGCGGAGCAUGUGGCUUAAUUCGACGCAACGCGAAGAACCUUACCAAGGCUUGACAUACACCGGAACACUCAAAAGAUGGUGCCCCCUUGUGGUCGGGGUACAGGUGGGGCAUGGCUGUCGUCAGCUCUGUCGGGAAAAGAUUGGGGUUAAUUCCCCCAACAAAGGCAACCCUUGUUCCCUGUUGCACAGGCCUUUUUGGGGGUGGGGACUCCCCGGAAAACGCCGGGCACCCCCAAAAAAGGGGGGGGGGGGGGGGGCCAAAUUUUUUUCCCCCUUUUUUCUUUGGUGGGGACGGGGCCAAAGGCGGGGGAAUGGAUGGAAACCCCCCGGGGGGGGGGAAUUCAAAACGGCCCCUUUUUCUUUUUGGGGGGGGGGUGGGCCCCCCCCCACCCCCCAACCCCUCAAUUACAAAAAACAAUUUUUUGGGGGGAAAAAUUUCCGGGCUUGGUACCCCGCUCUCUCCC